CGGCAAUAUCACGCUGAAACACCAGUUCUCGUACGAUCGCCUAAGUUAAGAAACAUCAAACCUAGUCAGUACCUAGAUUGGUGUCUACUUGGGAAUACCAGGUGCUGUAAG